rnacentral:lncRNA from 1 species
AUUCGAUGGCUUUCAGCAGGGGGCAGGAAUGCCUUGAGGAAGGGGCUCCUUUUCCUCAUUCAGGCUGAGGCAGGGCUGAGGAUCUGCGCCACAGCCACUGCUGCCUUGAUGGGAGCUGCCAGGGCUGCUCACAGGGACUGAUCUGAGCUUAGAUCCUGGGAGCAGCUAGUCAGGGUCAGGCCACAUCCUCCUGGAGUUCUGUCUACUUGGUUCUUGUUUUUCACUGCCUUUCCAGCAGACCACACCGACUUCUAAUCUCUUUAAUCCUGGACUCUUGGUCCAUUCAAUACUUUUCUCCUCACUGGAGAGAUGUGAUUUUUCUUCUUUUUGGAGAAUCUUGAAAUGCAAGGAUAAAAUCAUAGAUUCAAACAAGUUUUUAAACUGCAAGCAAAAAUACAGUUAUCUAGAGCAUACGUUUUGGCUUAAGCAGGACUGAGUUGAGAUUCCAGCUGCACAACCUUAAGCAAGUCCUGUAAUCAUUUAUUAUUGGCCGAUCCAUUCAUCCCCUUAUUUAGUUAUUCCCUCAAAAAUAUUUAUUGGGCAUGUACCCCGUGCCAGGUGUUGGGUAAUUCAGUCUCUCAGGAGGAGAGGGAGGCAUUUGUUAAACAGAUACUCACACUGAUAAGUAAGCACAGUAAGUGCUAGGGAGAAAACCCACAGAGGCCGACGAGGACAUGUGAUAGGAGAGGGUAAAGUCGUCAGUUGGGGCAGGGAGGGCUGAGGCUUGAGGAAUGAAAAGGAAUUAACUAGGCAAAUAGGAGGAAGCAUUCCAGAUGGAGGGAGCAGCGUGGGCAAAGAUCCAGGGGCUGGGUCUCCAGUGUGGCUGGACAUGAAGUCAUGGGCAAGAGAAGCACGUCAGGAGAAGAAGCGGGGGAGGACUUGUUUACUCCAUGGCGCUGCUCUGUCCUCAGCUCUGCAAUGCAGCCUGCCAAACAUGUUCCCUUUCCUCCUCUGAUAAAUCCUCAGUGUCCUGCUGGGAUUCUACACCUCCCAGUAAGCCAAUGAAUUAUUAAA